UACGUAGGGGACAAGCGUUGUUCGGAAUUACUGGGCGUAAAGGGCUCGUAGGUGGCCAACUAAGUCGGACGUGAAAUCCCUCAGCUUAACUGGGGAACUGCGUCCGAUACUGGAUGGCUUGAGUUUGGGAGAGGGAUGCGGAAUUCCAGGUGUAGCGGUGAAAUGCGUAGAUAUCUGGAGGAACACCGGUGGCGAAGGCGGCAUCCUGGACCAACACUGACACUGAGGAGCGAAAGCCAGGGGAGCAAACGGG
rnacentral:rRNA from 1 species